rnacentral:rRNA from 1 species
GAUGAACGCUGGCGGCGUGCCUAAUACAUGCAAGUCGAGCGAACGGACGAGAAGCUUGCUUCUCUGAUGUUAUCGGCGGACGGGUGAGUAACACGUGGAUAACCUACCUAUAAGACUGGGAUAACUUCGGGAAACCGGAGCUAAUACCGGAUAAUAUUUUGAACCGCAUGGUUCAAAAGUUAAAGACGGUCUUGCUGUCACUUAUAGAUGGAUCCGCGCUGCAUUAGCUAGUUGGUAAGGUAACGGCUUACCAAGGCAACGAUGCAUAGCCGACCUGAGAGGGUGAUCGGCCACACUGGAACUGAGACACGGUACAGACUCCUACGGGAGGCAGCAGUAGGGAAUCUUCCGCAAAGGGCGAAAGCCUGACGGAGCAAAGCCGCGUGAGUGAUGAAGGUCUUCGGAUCGUAAAACUCUGUUAUUAGGGAAGAACAUAUGUGUAAGUAACUGUGCACAUAUUGACGGUACCUAAUCAGAAAGCCACGGCUAACUACGUG